rnacentral:lncRNA from 10 species
UGGUCAGGCUAGUCUCAAACUCCUGACCUCGUGAUCCACCCGCCUUGGCCUCCCAAAGUGCUGGGAUUACAGGUGUGAGCCACCACACUCAGCCUCCAAAUAUGAUUUCUUUAAGUUAACCUUUUACCAAAACUCCAGCCAGAGGUAACCUGUAGGUAUUACGGUUUGAACUAGCAGAGGUCCUGAGACCAUCUAACUGUUGGGUCUAUUUCUUGGGGACAGCAGCUACCAAGGGGGUGCCAGCUGGAAACAGUGACACAGAGGGGGGCCAGCCUGGUCGGAAACGACGCUGGGGAGCCAGCACAGCCACCACACAGAAGAAACCUUCCAUCAGUAUCACCACUGAAUCACUAAAGAGCCUCAUCCCCGACAUCAAACCCCUGGCGGGGCAGGAGGCUGUUGUGGAUCUUCAUGCUGAUGACUCUCGCAUCUCUGAGGAUGAGACAGAGCGUAAUGGCGAUGAUGGGACCCAUGACAAGGGGCUGAAAAUAUGCCGGACAGUCACUCAGGUAGUACCUGCAGAGGGCCAGGAGAAUGGGCAGAGGGAAGAAGAGGAAGAAGAGAAGGAACCUGAAGCAGAACCUCCUGUACCUCCCCAGGUGUCAGUAGAGGUGGCCUUGCCCCCACCUGCAGAGCAUGAAGUAAAGAAAGUGACUUUAGGAGAUACCUUAACUCGACGUUCCAUUAGCCAGCAGAAGUCCGGAGUUUCCAUUACCAUUGAUGACCCAGUCCGAACUGCCCAGGUGCCCUCCCCACCCCGGGGCAAGAUUAGCAACAUUGUCCAUAUCUCCAAUUUGGUCCGUCCUUUCACUUUAGGCCAGCUAAAGGAGUUGUUGGGGCGCACAGGAACCUUGGUGGAAGAGGCCUUCUGGAUUGACAAGAUCAAAU